rnacentral:rRNA from 1 species
GACGAACGCUGGCGGCAUGCUUAACACAUGCAAGUGGUGCGACGAACCUUUUAGGGGCAAAGCCGCGAACGGGUGAGUAACACGUGGGCAAUCUGCCCAGUAGACCGGAAUAACUCAAGGAAACCUGAGCUAAUACCGGAUGUGCCGUACUUCCAUAAGGAGGUCCGGUAAAGAGAGCUUCGGCUAUUCGCUAUUGGAGGAGCCUGCGGGAGUAUUAGGUAGUUGGUGGGGUAAAGGCCUACCAAGCCGACGAUACUUAGCUGGUCUGAGAGGACGAUCAGCCACACUGGAACUGAGACACGGUCCAGACUCCUACGGGAGGCUG